AUUGAACGCUGGCGGCAGGCUUAACACAUGCAAGUCGAGCGAGCGGCGGACGGGUGAGUAAUGUCUGGGAAACUGUCUGCUGGAGGGGGGUAACUACUGGAAACAGUAGCUAAUACAGCAUACCAUCAGAUGUGCCCCGAUGGGCUUGUCUAGUAGGGGGGGUAAUGGCUCUCCUAGGCGACGCUCCCUAGCAGGUCUGAGAGGAUGCCCAGCCCCACUGGAACUGAGACACGGUCCAGACUCCUACGGGAGGCAGCAGUGGGGAAUCUUGCACAAUGGGCGCAACCCUGAUGCAGCCAUGCCGCGGGUGUGAAGAAGGCCUUCGGGUUGUAAAGCACUUUCAGCGAGGAGGCGUUACUCGCAGAAGAAGCACCGGCUAACUCCGUGCCAGCCGCCGCGGUAAUAC
rnacentral:rRNA from 1 species